GGCGCCCGCCCUGGCGGCAGAUGCAGUUUAAGAAUGUAGCAUUCUGAGAACUUCUCCAUACUCCUUUGAGACAGUUUACUUUGACAGUGUCUGGAUACACACAGUGCAGGAUUCCACGGAAUUGUGAAUGAAAGGUAAAUCAUUCUGGAGUUACAGCAAUGUCGUAUUUAGGUAUGGAGAAAACCACGAAUCAGUCAAUUUUGCCUGCAAAUUAAGAUCACUUCCCAUACUUGCUUCUAAAUAGCUCUAAACUAUUCCUUGAGUGCUUUUUUCCUCCACAUCCUUAUAUUUCUUGGAGUUGCUACACCAUGUAAAGGCCUCCUGUAUCAUUUUGGUGGGAAGUGAGCUCACAGGAGUGAAAUAAUUCAAACUUAUGUGUGUAAUCUGCAAAAGCUUCAUCUCAUGCUCCCAUAUGUGAGCGCAGGGAUCUGCUGAGGGAUCUGCUGGAGAAUCUGUAGGGAUCUGCUGGAGGAUCUGCUGGAGGCUCUGCUGGAGGAUC